GCUAACGGUAUUACACUCUGGCCCAAACUCUCUUAUUUGCCGCCUCUGCUUUGGACGACAAUGGGGUUUCCUCUCCUCAUCGGACAGUUCCGUCGGCGCCGCCGAGCUCGCACGGCGAGGCAGACCACUGCUCGAUAUCCUAACUCCAACCCAGCCAACUCCCACCCGUAGACCCUAAUUCUAAGGCAGCCUAAUCCCUCGCCAUGGAGGAUUCCCUUGUGCCGCCUGUGCCUCCUGCCCCAACCACCCUUUUCCUCACUCGCCGGCGAUCACAUCUCGACAGCGCCUCCUACCGCACGCUCUCCCGGCUCUUCUCCCACUGCCUCCACCACCGCCCCUCGCAGCUCGCUGCCCCGGCGCCCCUUGAAGUCGAGCCCGCCGCUGCGAACCCUAUAUGCGACGAGUCGCCACAGGGGUGCUCGGUACCGCCUGGACGGGGAAAGGACUUAGGAGAAGAGGAGACUGCGGUAAGGACUUCUGUCAUCGAGAACCCCUCACCCGCGGCAGUCGAUGCAGCCACCGGUAACCCUAUUGCAGACCCGGCUGUGGCACCACAGAGAUACAUGGAGAAUCAAGUGGCCGGGGUUCAGCGGGUGGAGGGCGUAACAGAUAUGGUUGUUGGGGGAAACGUCUGCCGUGAGACUGUUGCGUUCGUGGAGGAGUUGGGGGCAGAGGAUGUUUUGAGGUCGAUGAAGGAUUGUUUGGAGGGGGAGGUUGACGAAUUGGCAGAGCCAGAUGUAGUGGUGGUCAAUGAUGAUGAACAUCUGCUGCUUGAUACGAUGAUGACCAACUUCUCAGGGUUGAUUGCUGAUGCCAGUGGCGGUACAACGUCAAUGCUGAACUAUGGGGUUUCUGGAGGUGAACCACACAAUGAUGGCAACAUAGCUGAGGGGGUGAAAGAAUUGGGAGCUGGAACUGAAGAAGACAGACCUGUGGGUGGUUUAGAUCAGCACUCAGUUGAUGGUGGCGUGGUUGAGGAAGGAGAGAUUGAGGGUGACAUGCAGGCUCUGGAUGUAGAUGAAUCUGAUGAUUCGGAGCUCGAAGAUGCAGAUGAUGAGGAAUUGGAAGAGGAUUUUACUAACAGAGUGUUGGGGGAGAAUGAAUCAUCUGGCCAGGACAUACCGUGUCUGAAUUUGCUUUCAACGCCUAAAACUAAAGGAACCAGUGAUCUUGUACUGAACAAGGAAGGUUAUAUCAAGGAUGAUGCACUAAAGCAUGUCACCAGGGCGCAGGCAGUCAGUUAUGAUGAAAUUGUGGAAUGGAAUGAGACACCGCUGCCUGAUGCUGAGGCUCCCAAACUAGGGAAGAGAAAACGGCAUUUGACAGAGGAAAGAAAGGCUAAGAAGACGAAAAACAAACGGGUUAAGAGAGCACAGCAGCGGAUAGCGGAUGGUGUGAAAAGACUGAAACUUGCACCAGUUAUAAAGCCGAAACCAGUGAAGUUAUGCCACUUCUACAUGCAUGGGAAGUGCCAGCAGGGCAAUGCUUGCAAGUUCUCACAUGAUACUACACCUUUGACAAAAUCUAAGCCCUGCACACAUUUUGCGCGCGGUUCUUGUUUGAAAGGAGAUGAUUGUCCCUAUGAUCAUGAGUUGUCAAAGUACCCUUGCCACAACUUUGUGGAAAAUGGAAUGUGUUUCAGAGGUGAUAAAUGCAAAUUUUCUCAUGUGGUGCCAACUGCAGAUGGUCCUUCCAAACCAGAUGCAAAGAAAUCUGAUGCGUCAUUGGUGUCUGAAAAACCUGGCAGAGAGCAAACAAGUAGUCAGAAAGCAUCAACGGUCCAUGAUGGCGAACGUGUAACUUCUGCUCCUACCAAACAUUACUCCAUCCUUAAAAACCUUGCCGGCAUCUCAGUAAAUGCUCUAAAAGCAUCAACCAGUACACCAAAGGGUGUACAGUUUCGUCCUUCCAGUAAAGACAGAUCAAAUUCUAGCAUGUUGCAUCAGGAUGCUCUAACCAUCGAGAAGCAUAUGUAUACAAAUGGCAGUAAACAUCAGAAUUUUGGUGGACCGCAGGCUGAAGAAGGGGAUAAAAAUGUCAGUCCAAAUAAACAGAGAUCAGCUCCACUGCUCGAUGAGAAGAACUCAUCAAAAGAAGCUAGUUCACAUCCAAGUUCAGACCCAAAGGGAACUAGUUUGCCUACUGGCUCUACUACAGUGCUUGGAUCACUCAGCACUCAGCACGAAGUUUCAGAGGCUUCAAGAAUUUUGCAAGAAUUCUUAUUUGGUGCUGGCAGUUAGAGGAAAAAUUAGGCUAAGUGCCACCGUGGGUACAUGAAGAUUUGUUAUUAUCCAGUCAACUCACUCUGCAUAUGACCACUGAUAUAAGUCGUAGUUCUUUCUCUGGAAGCACUGAAGCGUUCUGCCACCUGUUUUCUUGGGUCCUUGGAGAGCAUUUGUAGUGGAGGGGCAGUCUUUGGUACCAGUUUUUGCUAGUUCUACAGGCGGCCUAAUUUCAUGAAGAUUUUUUGCGACAAUAUAUGUUCAUGGUGUAAAAAUUGUGAGAUUGUUAAAGUAUUUUCAUUUUAUGACCAAUUUACUUCUUCACUUAUGAUUUGUGAGAUAAAUUCAAAUGUUAAAAACCAAUGUUUGAGUGCAUUCUUCCCACGGCAACAUGUUCUCUCAGACCAGUUCACGAGUAUUAGCUUUCCUUGUCAAACAUAGCAUUAGCUUUCAUCCAAGAUUUUUUGUGUGGAAAAAUAUUUAUCUGCAGAGCCUUGUGGAAAUCUUGAACCAGAUCUCGUUAAUUUUUUCCUUGACUAUUGAUUGAGUGCUAAAUUAUCUGCUGUGUCGGCAUGUGAUCUAAUGCUGUUUUGGUUUACAAGGCGAAGCAGUGGAGAUUUGAGGUGUCAUUAUUCAGUUCCUAACAAAGGCUGCUUUCUGAGGCACCUCGGGUCGAUUCAGUACAUACACAUUUCUUUCUGUUGGGCUGUCUGUAGAAAGAUGCCGCACCGUGCGCUAAAUGAUUUCUAGCUGCUCUUCUAUCAGUAUCUCAAGUAUCCAAUGUGCUUAUCAGACGUGGAGAAAGGAAAAAAAAAUCCAUCUUUUUCUGCUUUCAGGCCCUCCGGACUCUCCAGGCAAAGAGAGCAUUACUGGUGUUGGCCUGGUGCAUUGGAUGUUUGAACUUGCAUGCGCAUGCAUGCAGUACCCGGGAUUAUCUCUUGGUUGAGAAUUGCUUGUGGAACUAGUCUGGAGACUGUGGGACACAGGGGCAGGCAGAAUCAAAGGUGUCCCAGGUAUGAGCUGGACUGCGUAUGAUUGUUUUUGCUUCAUUUCAAGCUUCCCUCCGACCUGCCCCGUGCCUAUUCGCUGUCAAACUCACAGCUGUUGUCGCAUCAGUUCAGAAUUACAUUCACAUGAUCACUGAGGAGGCUCACAUGGCGUUUAUCACCUCCAGAUUUGUCGCAGACAUCUGAGUUUACGCUCCUCGGUGACUCUUAACUGGCUAUCUCGAGUUUUUCUUCCAAUGAUGAUGAUGCCCUUUAAACCGUGUUAUUUCGUCAUGCUGCUCAUGUCAGCUUUGAGUGGCUUGUGCCCGAGGUGCAAUUUGUUAUCUUGGUACUGGAAUAGCUCUAUCGCACUCGUGAAAGCAACUGAUUCAAAGGUUUUGAGUGGCUUGUACACCUGAACCUGUAUGUGUUGCUUGUCAUGGGGACUGGAUAACGUGUGAACCUGGUGAAAGCCCCCCCUCCCUGAGGAUGUGAUGGACUGAUAGGUAGCCACUUUGUUGCUUUUCUCCUAUGAUAAAUACUCUCCCUUAGUUGGAAAACAAAUGCAUAUUUACCAGUACUUCAGGGCCCUUCUAUAUACUCCAUUCAUGGAGGAUUUAUUACCAUCUACACCUAAGGCCCUAUUUGGAUUAUCUUUUUCCUUUUGAAUACCCCUGUAAAUAAUACAGGUCUCGACCCGUCGUUUUGUUUCUGGCCGGGAAUUUCUCAGUGGCCGGUGAGAUACACCUGUAAGUUAAUCACCUCCGUAUAAAAUUACAUCGACCCCAAGCGCGGCCUAACUGUGGAGUAAGGGGAUAUGGCGAAAUACAGUUGACCAGAAAAAUAUAGCAUGUAUGUAACCUUUUGUACCCAGCAUUUUUUGUGCAUAUCAGAUGGAAGAGCAAAACACAAGCAACUACUCCAUCCUUCUCAAAAUGUAGGUGUGUUUUGAUUUGUUAAGAAAAACCUUUGAUCAACAUUCUUAUAUUGGCUCCUAUGUGUUCUUUUGUGAUACAAAUCACAAUCAUAUUUGAGUAUUGUUGAAUACAAAUCUAAUGAUAUAAAAAUAUGUUACAUAAACCACAUAUAUUAAAAAAGUAAGUAUUGGUCGUUAAUAAAUCAAAACAUGUCUUAUAUUUUGAAACAGAAGGAGUUUGCAUAAUUUUUGAAAAUAAAUAGAUAAUUAAAAUAACUGAUACUGCUCACUCAUCGUGCAAUUUUUGUACAACUUGUUCUGAGACUAAUCGCUGUCAAGCUAUGUUCCCCAGUUCGCAACCAUCUCUACACGGGCAAUGACAAUCCACAUCCAACUUCGUUUGUUUUGUUGCCAGCAUUUUCCGGCCAUAUGUAGUCAGCCAUGCCAUGCUCUAUUGCAAAGUCGAUAUAAAUAAGUUUGCCUGAGAAAAUCUAUUUCGCUAUUUAGAGUAAUCAUGUUGCCAAUCAGCAUACAUUUUUGUUGAAUUAUACUCCCUCUGUCCCAUAAUAUAAGACGUCUUUUGACAUUGUGUAGUGGUGAACUCUUUAUCUGGUUAUUAAGGCUACAGCCUGUUGCUGACUUUUAUCAACGAUUGUACAACGCACCGACAAAUGAUUUAUGUCAUUUGACAGGAUUGAUACCUCCUGUUUUCUUUUACCUUGUUACAUUUGACAUGAACUCUUAACAUCUUGUUGUCUUGAUCCCUUCUUCAUUGGUGAUGAUGGCAAUAUCGUUUCAUUGAGCUGCUUUUGUUUCAUAGGACCAAAUUGUUCAGCAGACUGCCAUAUGCCAGUAUAUAUAUAUUUUUCCAAUGAUGCCAAAUCUGACAUUGAGUCGUCGACUGGAGUCGCUGUUUGACACAGCUUUGCUGCUUGUCUUUCUCACCUUAGCACGGUCACAUACAUAAAUCUUGCACAGGGAGUACUCAGGCUGGCUGACAAAAACGACACCUCUGGAGUGAUCAAACUGGCAGCCUCCCUCAGCAAACAGGGAACUCCUGCAUCCGUUCAGUUCAUGUCCAGAGACCAAGGCCUCCGAAUUCAGCCGGCACACCCUCUGUUGAAUUGCUAAUAGGACCAUUCCUGUAUGUAUUCUGCAAUUCACUGUUCUUGAAUUAUCUCAGUAAUGGACCGAGUCAAUGCCAACAGGAAGAAUGAUGAGGUGGAAUCCACGGACACGGUUGGAAAAUCUUAAGACUUUGUUCGUGUCUGUUCUGCCCGGCCGUCCAUCCUUGUCUGAUGGUAAAUAGGAGGAAAUCAAGUACAGCCGAUUACUUCGAUUGGUCGCCAUUUCAGAGAUAAUUAGCAGGAGGGUUAGGCAAUUAUGGGUUUCAAUACCUCCGGCCACUCAUUCUGUUGGCCAUCACAUUCCUCAGUUAGAAAUGGAGCCUAUCACCCGAGACCCUUCUUGAACAUGACAACGACACUCCAUGAAUCCUGGCUACUGCCAUGUUCUCAUGCUCACCGCAUAUCAUCACACAGUUCAGCCAAGAACUACAGUUUGUUCUCUUCUCUUUCGAUGACGAUAAAAGUACACAUGGUUUCAUUGGUCACGCGAGCGUGCAAUUGCCCCGUGGAUCCCGAGAUCCGGCUUUCAUGGCUCCUGUUACUGAAUCAUGAGUUUUCUUCUCCAAACUAGUGCAGUAAUUCUUCCUGCUACCAGAUUCAACUGAGCCUGCAAUUUGCAUGAGGGGCCUGUCCUUUUCUUGAUGCGGACAUGCUUAUAUUCGGGCUCAUAAUUCGCACCUUGACCGCUUUUUAAAAAUCAUACAUGACCAUAAUUCUAGCAGAUUGAUAUUGACACAUGGGUAGGCAGGCCAGGAGGGUUUUCUCUUUUACUAUUGUCUGGAGAUCUUUGAUUGUGUUCACGACUAAUUGCACAAUGUUUCGGAUUGCUCAUCUUGCAAGAAAAAUCUAGCCUGGCUGUUUCGGUUGACUUGAUUCAGCAAAAGCUAGCCCAACUACACUGUGCUAAUUAUCUUCUAAUCAUUGGUUCACUGGUUUUCAUGGGUCUUCUCUUUUCGGGCAUCUGCUGGGAAAGUUGGAUGCUAAAAGGAAUUGCAGCUUUGCUACUAUCUGAAUGAUGAUGUGCUGUAAAAGGUGGACCAAACAACCAGAGGUCAUGUGUGGAUGACUGCUUUCUACUCCUAGUACAAAAGAUCAAAACAACAAAUACAUGAUACUCCAUAUGUAACUCUAAGGUUCAAAGCAAUUCAUAAUAUUUCUUCUUUAUAAUUUAAUAAGGGCUAUACUAUACUCUGCGGCGGUCGACCGGCCCGAGCGCUGGACCGGUGACCGCGUGAGCCAUCAGAUUGCUUUCUCGUCAACCGGGCGAGCCCAUAAGUUAGCCAGGUGCGCGUAGCAGUUUAGGCACGUUGCAUGCCUCCGCUAGCUGCUGCUGCUGCGAUCACAAGAAAGGAAAUGUUUAAGCAGGCAGGGGUGAGAUGGCACAUGGCAUGUCUCUGUUGACCCUUGUCUGCAUGCCAUCAGCGGAA